AAAGUAGAAGUGUAAUAAUAACUGACCUGCACUCAGAAGAAGAUGAAGUUCAUCCUACUUUA
rnacentral:tRNA from 1 species